AUUGAACGCUGGCGGCAUGCUUUACACAUGCAAGUCGAACGGCAGCGCGGGCUUCGGCCUGGCGGCGAGUGGCGAACGGGUGAGUAAUGCAUCGGAACGUGCCCAGUAGUGGGGGAUAGCCCGGCGAAAGCCGGAUUAAUACCGCAUACGACCUGAGGGUGAAAGCGGGGGACCGAAAGGCCUCGCGCUAUUGGAGCGGCCGAUGUCGGAUUAGCUAGUUGGUGGGGUAAAGGCUUACCAAGGCGACGAUCCGUAGCUGGUCUGAGAGGACGACCAGCCACAAUGGGACUGAGACACGGCCCAGACUCCUAAGGGAGGCAGCAGUGGGGAAUUUUGGACAAUGGGGGCAACCCUGAUCCAGCCAUGCCGCGUGCGGGAAGAAGGCCUUCGGGUUGUAAACCGCUUUUGUUCGGGAAGAAAUCCUCUGGGCUAAUACCCCGGGGGGAUGACGGUACCGGAAGAAUAAGCACCGGCUAACUACGUG
rnacentral:rRNA from 1 species